AGAAAUUUAGGAUAAAUAGACCAAGGGCCUUCAAAGCCCUAAGUGGGAGUUAAACCCUCCUAAUUUCUG
rnacentral:tRNA from 1 species